UGGCUUAGUUGGUAAAGCGAUUGCCUCAAAUGCACAAGGACCUGAGUUCGGAUCUCAG
rnacentral:tRNA from 1 species